GAUGAACGCUGGCGGCGUGCCUAAUACAUGCAAGUCGAGCGAACAGACGAGGAGCUUGCUCCUUCGACGUUAGCGGCGGACGGGUGAGUAACACGUAGGUAACCUACCUAUAAGACUGGGAUAACUUCGGGAAACCGGAGCUAAUACCGGAUAAUAUUUCGAACCGCAUGGUUCGAUAGUGAAAGAUGGCUUUGCUAUCACUUAUAGAUGGACCUGCGCCGUAUUAGCUAGUUGGUAAGGUAACGGCUUACCAAGGCAACGAUACGUAGCCGACCUGAGAGGGUGAUCGGCCACACUGGAACUGAGACACGGUCCAGACUCCUACGGGAGGCAGCAGUAGGGAAUCUUCCGCAAUGGGCGAAAGCCUGACGGAGCAACGCCGCGUGAGUGAUGAAGGUCUUCGGAUCGUAAAACUCUGUUAUUAGGGAAGAACAAAAGUGUAAGUAACUGUGCACGUAUUGACGGUACCUAAUCAGAAAGCCACGGCUAACUACGUG
rnacentral:rRNA from 1 species